rnacentral:lncRNA from 1 species
AGCUGGGCGAUGCACUCGUUAAUCCGGUCACGUCUCUUUUUCUCGAUGAGCCGGUGCGGCAAUUUGUAGGUCUCCUGCAAGACGCACGGGGAGGCGGUGGGCGCUUGGGGAAGGAGAUGAGAAGCCUAUCCUCCCAGCCCCGCAGCAACAGUCCGGCAGAGGAGCAGAGUAGCAGAGUAGCACCCAGAACCAUCGUCUGCCCUUUCUUUUCCAAGUCACUCAGAAGAGGCACCGAGCCCACACCCUGCAUCCCCUCGCCAACCUCAAAGCGAGAAAACUUUUCUUGGAAACUCAGCGCGCGCGAGGGGCUGAGCGCAGGGUCCCUAGGGGUGCACUUGCUUACCUUGCUGUCCUCGCUCCGCUUUAUUCCCCGUCUUGACUUGUACACUUGGUACAUGUGGGCAGGGUACAUCCUGCAGGAAGAGAGACCAGGAAGGGUCGUGACUGCUUGCGCACGGCUGCAGGCGUUCUGCCGGGCAAGAACCUCCCGGUGCGCCCGGAGCUGCUCCAAGUUGAGAGUGGCGCAUAACAUGGGGCUGCAGUUGAGGCUUGAAGGGCCAAGGAGUGCCAACUUACCCUGGGUUGCAGAAAAGGAAGAAGAAUCAGCAGAGAGCAUUUGUGGCCAGCAAAGCUUAAAAUAUUUCCUAACCGAUCCUUUGCAAAAAAAGUUCACCCACUCCUGUAGUCAGCAGCUCCCCUACUGUGCGCAGUCAGUGUGCCAUCUCAGACUAGCAAAGGUGAGUAAAACCAUCCCUGCCCCUAAUCAAUUUACAAUCUGCAUCCUCAGGGCAAGAGCCUAGUAAGCAAAAGGCAAAAUAAGAUGGCGCCAGAUAAGGGCUUCAAAGGAAGAGAGACCAGGUUUGGUGGGGAAAUAGGGGGUGGCUUCUUAGCAGGUUUUCUUUAGAUGAACCUUGAAGAUAAAAAGAGAUUUUGAUGAAUAAGGGUGGGUGAGAUGCAGAGGGGGUCAGCGCUGUGUCCUGGAACCAGUGAGUGAUUCCAUUUCAGAAGCACCCGGGGAGGCUAAAGGGUAGAUUCUAAGGCCAGAAAGAGAGGAGAAGGUCGUAGGCUGGAGACCAUGAUGAGGAGUGUAUACAGAGGGAGAGAGGAGAGAUUCCUGCACUUAGAGGCCAAAAGGACAACAAUUUGCACUUUUACUUUGGUGUCGGAAAGAACCGUAGUCUCAUAUGGUUACACGGAAGUGUUUUAUGAUAAUCAGUGAAAAAUGAGGAAAAUAGUCUCUCUUAGGCUGAGCACCUAGGAAAUGAGUGGCUCUUGGCUGUAAGUCAAUGAACAGCAUUAAUAUAUGCAGUUACCAAGUCAUCAUUAACACAUAAAGCACUGCAGGGUUUCAAUCGAUUCAUCAGAAUUCUUGAAAGUCCUAUUUUAAGGCAGUUCAAACAGAGGCGAGGCAGCUGAACCUGGUGAGGCUGCCAGGAACAGCGAGUUCUGCCUCUGAAUUUGCUCCUGACUCAGUGCCUGACCUUGGGCAAGCACUCAACGUCUCACUAUCUCAGUUUCCUCAGCCAUAAAAUGGGGAUAACAGACCUUAGCCACCUCAUAGGAGUGUCAUAAAUGUCUGCAAAAACCUUUCAAGGUAAGUGCUCCUGGAAACGGACAAGGUGGGGAGGGUUCUUUUUCAAUCGUCUAGGCGGGAAAAUGAGGUUAUCAAAAUUAAAAUAGGAGACUACUUUGUGAAACAGAAAUGAUUGUGGAUAAAUGAUGCAAAGCCGACAGAUGAUUAAAGGUACCCAUAGUCUACCAGUUAAAAUCUCUGUCAGGAUUUUCUAAAUUAACGUCAGGACAUCUUCUUUGUUGUUGUUUAAGGAUGGAAGAGAAUAUUAAAAAUCAGACAGGACCACCUUAGGGUAUGUGGUCUCACAUAUCUGUUCUAUUUGCUUUUUCGAAGCUUAGAAUAUUCUGCUCAAUUCUCUGGGUAUUACUCAGUUAUAAAGGUGCAGAGGGAUGCAUCUCCUUCUGCACUUUCUUUACUCUGUAGAUUUUCCUAAUCUGUCCUAGAGAGGGACUGUGGCAGGGUCUGCAGACAGAAGGGCUGCCUUGUAGCCAGCCAUCUUUGUAUGACCUCUGCCAUUGGCCGUUGGUGGCCGAGAAAGACACUGAAGUCUCUCGAGAAAGCUGAAGACCCAACCCUGAGAUGUACCCACACUGCACCUGGAGCAGACAAUUGGGCUAGAAGACAAGUUCUGCUCUGCUCUGGAAAGUGUGAGUGGUAAAAUAUUUAUUAGGAUCCUGCUGAGAAGACUUGCCAUUUUAACCUUCUCUCUCUCUCUCUCUCUCUCUC